GCGACCGAUCGCAGUCGUGUUUUGGCUUUGGAACAGUGAUGGAUUUCUACGAGACGAACAUCGUCAAGAGUUAUAGACUGUAUCUGCUCCUCGUUGGCGUGUGGCCUUACGAAUAUUCGAAAGCGAACAAGAUGCAAAGGAUCGUGUACGUUACGUGCGUAAUUUCUUUUUUACUCGUUCAGAUUUUCACAUUGUUCACCGAUGAGAUCAAUUACGCUCUGCUGUGCCAGAUAAUUACAAAUAUACUGAUCGUUUCAUUAAUAUUAAUAAAAUAUAUUAAUAUUUGGAUCAAGAUCGAAGAGUUUAAGGAAUUUUUUGAUUACAUAAGGAUCGACUUGAGCACAUUGACGGAAACGGAAAAGAUUAUAAUAAAACGAACGUAUAAGAAAUGUUCGUAUUAUUGUCAGAUUAUGUUUCUAUUCGCUUACUUCGCGGCCUUUAUAUUGAUGAUAAUCCAAAUAUUUCAAAUCGUUGAUUACGGGAUCGCAUCCUCGAACAGAACAAAUUAUUUUGAUCGAAUAAUUUUAACCGAAUAUUUUAUCGACCGUGAAAAAUAUUCUUAUCCCAUUUGUAUACAUUUAAAUAUAGCAAUAUUGUUAAUUUCUUCGAUGGAGGUUGGUAUCGAUGUAUUACACGCGAUAAUAUUAACGCACAUUAUUGGAAUAUUCGACAAGAUUGGAUAUUUAACGAUACAUUUAUUCGACGAACCAGAAAUUACUUGUCAAAAAAUUGACAAAUAUUUAAUUUACUACAGAAGAUUGGUGUAUAUCGUGAAUUUGUAUAAGAGAAAUUUGAAAUUUUGCGAAAAGUACAAUUCUACAAUGCUUAUAUGUGGGGGUAUUCAAAUAAUUUGGGGAACAUUAAUUAUCUCUGCCUUGCUCUUGAAAUUGAAAAACGAAUUAUUGCCACACAAUCUACGAAUGAUGUUUGCAUAUUGUUUUUUCGUCAGUUUAUACUUAUUUAUCAUAUACAUGCUAAUAUUACCCUAUCAAAAAGUAUACGAGAUCAGCGAAACUUUGUUCUUCAAGGCCUAUUGCGGACACUGGUACUCAACCUCGGCCAAAACUCAGAAAUUGCUGUUAUUUCUUAUGCACAGAUUCAUGACACCGUAUAAAUUCCGAUUUAAAAGUUUGGUAAUUGUGAUCAACCAAACGUACGUGUCGAUGAUACGAAUCGGUUUCUCCUACUUCAUGUUCAUGCAUUCCAUCCAAGAAUAAUCGCGAUCGACGUUGAGCGUGACCGAUCAUCCGAUGGAUUUCGCAGGAUCAUCGUGAAUCAUCGUGAACGGAACGGUACGAAGUAUAUGCGGUGUCGGCACGAUAUCACGGACUAAUUAAACCGAGAGGAUAUUGCCAAUGACGUGAUCUGCAUAUAUUUAAAGUUCAUCCACGAGCUGCUCCCGGAAGUUGAAUGCUCGACUGACCUGUCGUCAAGAGGUUAACAAAAUGGCACGAAAUAUGCUCCGAGUCUGGAUACAUUUCUCCAUAAAGAUAGUAAUGAUAAAAUGUAUCGCGAUGAUGGAAUUAUACGCUGUUCCAUUCCGUGUGCAAUUUUAAACGAACAAUUUAAAUUUUAUUUCGACGAAAUGAACAUUCUUAGCACGGAAAAAAAUUACCGUUGAAACAAAUAAUUAACAGGAAAAUUGUAUUCUUAUAUUUCGCACGUGGAAAUCGAUUUUACAGUUUAGAAAAUAAUCAUAUUUAUAUUUACAUUUAAUUUGAAGAAGGUAUAAUGAUAUUCCUGCUGGAAAUUGCGUUAAUCUUUGCGACAUGUUAUUUCUGUUUCGCUUUAUUGAAGUGCAAUUGAUAGCUGCAAUCGAGUUCGUUUAUUCGCUUGAUGAAACAUUGUAAACUGAUUUCGCUGUGCAAAUGCAGCGUUUACACGCACCUACGUAUUUCAUUUUUUUUUUCCAUUCAUGCUUUCUGUUGUAUUUCACACGGUAUAAAUUGAAUCAAUUGUACUACGAUCGAAUGGAAAUCACGCAGAAUUUUUUUUUUUUUUUUAAUGAACUAACUUCGUAAAGAGAGAAUAAAAAAAAUAUUGGUAGAAGUUUUGCGGUAAAAAAACAUUCAAUUUUUAAAUAUUCGACGAAAAAUACUUUCGUUUUUUAUUUUAUAAAUAAACGUAUUAUAAAAGAAAUAUAAAAAAAUCUUAUUUAUUUCAUAUCACACACGUUACACACGUUCGAUUUAAUACAUAGUUUCUUCGAUCGUUUUUAGAAUUUUAGAUCUUUAAUUCCAUUCAAAAAUUUUAGGAUACUUUCAAACCAAAAAAAAAAAAAAAAUGUCAUUGGAAAAUAAUUAUUUAACGUAUUAAAUAACGUGAUUGAUCGUCGAAUCAAAAUAAUUCUCAAAUUGUCGUACAACAUUCACGAUAUACGUUUAAUCGCGAAUCCAAAAUUAUCGUGUUCAUUGCUCAUUUACUUUUAUCGCCCGUAUUAAUAUUCAUUUAGAAAUCCUUUGUAAUCAAAAUUAAUAUAAAUAGCCAGUCAUCGUUUCACAAUGCAAUUAUCGUGAAAACGAAUACAUGUACUUCGUGUCGUAUCGUUAAUGAUAAAACAGAUUUCUCGCGUACUCGCGUGCAUUAUAAUCAUUAAUCAAUUUAAUCCUACAAUUUUCCUCACGAAGUUGUUUAUAUUUCUCCAAUUUCGAUCAAUUAAAGUAUAUCGGAUAUUGAAUAUGAUAAAAUUUCAAUUUUAAUUCAAGUGUUUUAUAUAUAUAUAUAUAUAGAAAAUAAGAAACGUACGUUUCUUCCUUCUUCUUUACCGAUUUUUAAUAAGAACUAAAAUAGCAACUAGUUUCAGAUAUACCAUUCUCGAGUGUCGGAACACGACUAAGGAUUGUAUUACCUUUACUUUAGAAACUAUAGAAACAACACUCCACUCGAAGUAAGUAGAAAUACAAAAUAGUACUUUUCGUGUUAAAUUGAAAUAUUAAUAUAUAAAAAAUUUUGUAAUUUUUAGGAACAAUUCCUUUCUCGAUUCUUGCUUUCGGCAUUCUUUUAUAUUCAAGAAUAUAAAUCGUCAUCGUUAUACACGGAUUAUUAUACAUAUUCAUAUGGAUGGAGUACUCCUUUAUGCAAUAUUACAACACUACCGAGGGAGAACACUAACGAGACAUUGAAGCUUCGUAAAUUCUAUUUGAGUACCUCAUUUAUUCCGUAAUACAUCAUUUUCAAUCUGCCUUCUUCAUCGUAAUCUCUUCUUAGAACUAUAAUAUCUCAUUUAUUUCUAUUUUUAAAAUUUCAAUGCCUCGUUACUCCCUUAUUUAAUUCACCUACAUACACAUCGAUCCCGUAUUAUUUCAAUAACGCACAUUCCUCCCGCCAUUCGCAACAUCGCGUCCUUAUAAUUUUGCAAAUGCAUCUUUGUAUCAUUGCGUAAAUUCAAAACUUUUCCCAUCUUUUUCAGAAAAUUCUCUUCCAAUAUAUUUUCACACGACUCGUCAGAAGUUGACAGUAAGUUCGAUACUACAUUCUGUUUCGAGAGAAAUCCGUGCGCUCGUGAUUAACGAUCGAACGAUGAAGUGCAAUCAGCGAACUUCGACAAUUUAUACCGAGAAAUAUUUACUGUUUCGCAUUGCUGAUUCAUGCACACAGCACCGCGGAUGUAACAAUUUAAACAACGAUGGCGCGCGCCCCGUUAACACCGAUCUGGUACAAUAUGCAUCACAGUGCUUAAGGUAUGCUGCGCUCCGUGUUCCCCAGCUUUUCGACAAAUUAACGCCAGUGGAAACCGUGCCGACCGAACAUGUCGCAUCUCGCCGUUCAUCUCUCUCCUCUCUCUCUCUCUCUCUCUCUCUCUGGCUAUAUUUUUCUAUAUCCACGCAGCACACAUAUCGAACGUGAGUAUUUUUCUUUAUUUUUUUUUUUUUUCAAUCUUCAAACAUCGUGAAAUUUUGCACUCGAUUUAUUAUAGCGCGGUAAAUUAUCUUGUAUUAUCCUUCUAACUCGUGAUAUUUAAUUUUAAAACGUCAGCGAGAAAGGAAUUAUAAGAGUGAAAAAAUACAUAUGGAUUUUGAUGAAAUGGAAAUUAGAAAAAAAAAAAAAAACGAAACAAAUAUAGAAUUUCAACGAGCAAAACUUGUUACUGUUGGACAAACACAAGCUUACGAGCGAGCGCGUAACAAUCGAUUGGUCAUAUUCAUUUACGGAUUAUUUAUACGGAGAAUAUAUUCAUUCUUCAAACGUUUCUGUUUAGGGAUGCACGGAUCCGAAAUAAUAAAUGAUGACGCAGAGAGGGCGUCCGAGCCGACAAUUUUCCAGGUAUAUGCUCGCGCACGAUCGACACGAAGCGAGCGCAAAAACUCGUCGGUGCUGCGGACAACGCGGGUAGCCUAGCCGUUUAUCAAUCGCUAAUCUUAUCAGCGUAUCGCUGCAAAUCUUUGCCAGGUAAAAUUCGUUAUUCCGUGCCCGUUAUAAAUCUGGCCCCUUAUCUCAAAAGAGGGGAGACCGUGCCGGAUCCAUCAUCUCUCGCGCCGAUUUUCCCUUUCGAUCCACAAAACGAUCCACCAACCGGAUUCCCUCUCAUCCAUCGAAUCACGAGCGUUCGAAAGUGUUCGAGUCGAUGAAACUUUUACUCGCUUCGUUCCAUUUAUUUAUUUCCUUCCUUCCUUUUUUGCUUAUACGGAAUAGAUCCACGAUUGGGAAUAAUGGAUAAUGCUGGUUAUCCAUGCUCGAAAUCUUUUCGUGUAACAAAAGUCGCGACUGAUGGACACCGAGUGACAAUGAAUCCGAAGUCGGGCACGGAUCUCUACUCUGCUAUUAUUGAUCCCGGCAAUAUUUUCCAUUCAAGAUCGAGCGUGCAGGGAUAUCUUACUUCUCGCUUACACGGAACAUUGACACACCGAGCAGAGAAUGGGAUUCGACGUUGGAUCGGAAAUUGCAAGUCACUCGUAGCCAAUGAUUUACCGGAUACCAGAUACCUUUUGCAUUACGCUCAACAGUACGGAUUAAAUUAAGUCUCGUUUUAAUAAAUGCAUUCCCGUAUAUAUAUAUAUAUUUCUGUAUUCGUGGAAUACAUAGCAUAGCUUGUGGAAGGGAUAAGAAAAUUAUUUCGUGGAAAAUUGAUCAUGAUUAUUCGUAAUUUCUCGAUAAAUAAAAGGAAGAAAGAUUUAAAUGGAAAUAUGUUUCGCGUUAAAUGAUCAUCAUUCAGAUAUAUAAAAAGAAUGUUAUAUUUACGUUUCUUUUUUUAAUAUUUUCAGUCUUGAUGAAUUUCUUCCUUUUUUGCCCUUUUCGUUUUUCUUUUUCACGAUUAGAUUUUAAAAGGAAUUUAACGCGAAAUUGUCGAGAAAAAUAAUAUUAUUCGGAUUAAUUAUUCGAGAAAUGAUAAAAUAAAGGAGGAAAUGAAAGAUUAAACGUUUCGUUCGUAUUUAAUACAUGAGAGUGUCAGUUAAUUGUAAUUCAUAAACGAACUUAUAUCGAAUUGAAGCAAAUAAAUAAACAAUUACGUAGUAAUUAAUGUUCGUUUAAAUGAGAAGAAACUGGCAACUAUAAAUGGGAGUUGAAUAAUUUUGUCCAGGAAUUUCAUAAAUUAAUUGAGGAAUUAAUUAAAUUUCGUCGUGCAAAGAGUAAUUUUAAUAAACACGGAACGCGUGUUAAUAAAAAUAAACCAAAGAUGGAAUUUUUCGAAA